CUCUAAAAGAUCAAGUUGUUGUACACUGGACCAAACCUGAGACAGUGGAAAGAAUAUUUUAAAAGGUGAAAAAACAGAAGACACAUUCCACCUUACAUGCUCCUGUUCCUAGGGACAACCACCACCAGAGGAUUCUCGGUCUGCUUCUUCCAUCCCAAUGGUCAUCGAGGGACUCUCCAGUGCUCCUCCUCUACGGGCUCCAGUUACCCACAGAGUGGAGGUCCUGGACUUCGCUGCCACCACGGAAGUGCUGGGAAUAUAGUGAGAUAUAAUUAGGGUUUUCUUAGUUGGGGUUACAUUUUUAAGUGCCAGGGUGGUUUCUGUAUUUUGGGCCUGAGCUUUAUGCUGAGAGGGAGAGCUGCUGUGUUACUGGGUUUGUGUUUGUAGAGUUAUUGCUCGUUUUCAUUUAUCCCCUUCUCUCAGCUGUAGUUUCUCUCUUAAUACACUUACCUGUUGUUGUUUGCCCCUUA